rnacentral:lncRNA from 1 species
CAUAAUCUGCUAUAGAGCAUCUAAAUUUAUUUGAACUUUUAAAAUAUAUUCAAAUUUAAAUUAAGGACACCAAAAAAAUAAUUCAGACCAGAAAAUCAACUCAUUUUCUCACCCAUUGUAAGUACUGAUAGGGGCAUUAGAUACUAUAACGUACGAAGAAAUCAACAAUAAUACAAGAUUUGCCUCCACGACAUUAAUUAAUUACAAUAUGCUUGAUCCAUUUCUCAAAAUAUUCUUGUGAGUCAAUGCAAAAACUGGUGUUCUGGAAGUUUAUAAAAACUUGCACCUGUUUCAAAUUCACAAAGGUGAACAUUGGUACUCAUCGAGGGGUGUAAAGCUAUCUUCAUGACAAGAUCAACACGAUAAAUCUGGUCCGAGAACUUUGUAAGUUUAAAGCACACUAGAGUACUCCACAUGGUUACUCUAGGAAAAUUAGUCAAAAACUAGUCUGCUUUCACACGCCGUCGCCAGUUUUUGAAGACAACAAAUCCAAACGAUGUCAUCAUUCCAGACAAGUAGCCAAGAAUAGCUCCAUAAGUCACACAAAUUGGCCAUUCCUGCUUAUAAUGUCAAUUUGUUCACAAAUCAGAAAAACAAAAAGUUACCAACUCACUCUCGUGUUAUAGCCAAGAACAGUAGUAUUUUAGCUAGAUUCGUAGAAGAGAAGUAGCCUAAAAUAUUAUUGACAAAACAAUGUAAUCCACAAAUAGGCCAAACUGCAUGAAACUCUGGCAAAGAUUACAUAAUUAGGACAUUCUAAUGCCGAAUAACGAACCUAAGAAACGGAGAUAUUCAUGAUAUUUAAUUUGCAAUUUGCUGUAAAGAGAAAUCAGCGGUUUUAAAAAAAGGCCCAUUGAACCAUGUUAAUCAUUCUUUUCAACUUUGAUGAGAAUAGAAGAAAAAAAUAUUAAUAGUUGAUGAAAGAGAUUCGGUUAAAAAAAGCCCAGAUUUAAAUGCAGGGGUGGACCCACUUGAGGCCAAGUGGGGUCGGCGGCCCCCACUCGAUUUUCAAAUUUUUUAUUUUUCUUGAGGUUUUUUCCUAUGAUUUUUUGGUUUCGCCCCCACUGAAUCUUCAUCCUCGGUCCACCCCUGUUUAAAUGCAUCUAUAAAUUGAACUUUAGCUGUGCAGAACCGAGUCCAGUAGCCNNN